CAGUCGACGGAACGAUACUAGCUUGCUAGUAGGCGUCGAGUGGCGGACGGGUGAGUAACGCGUAGGAAUCUGCCUGAUAGUGGGGGAUAGCCCGGAGAAAUUCGGAUUAAUACCGCAUAAUCUAUUCGUAGUAAAGGAGGCCUCUAUUUAUAUGCUUUCGCUAUCAGAUGAGCCUGCGUAAGAUUAGCUUGUUGGUGAGGUAAAAGCUCACCAAGGCGACGAUCUUUAGCUGGUCUGAGAGGAUGAUCAGCCACAUCGGGACUGAGACACGGCCCGAACUCCUACGGGAGGCAGCAGUGGGGAAUAUUGGACAAUGGGCGCAAGCCUGAUCCAGCAAUACCGCGUGUGUGAAGAAGGCCUGAGGGUUGUAAAGCACUUUCAAUUGUGAAGAAAAGCUAAUGGUUAAUACCCAUUAGCCUUGACGUUAACUUUAGAAGAAGCACCGGCUAACUCCGUGCCAGCAGCCGCGGUAAUACGGAGGGUGCAAGCGUUAAUCGGAAUUACUGGGCGUAAAGCGUGCGUAGGUGGUUUGUUAAGUCA
rnacentral:rRNA from 1 species